rnacentral:rRNA from 1 species
CCUUAAUGACCGAUAGUGAACCAGUACCGUGAGGGAAAGGUGAAAAGAACCCCGGGAGGGGAGUGAAAUAGCACCUGAAACCGUGUGCCUACAAGAAGUUCGAGCCCGUCCAUGGGUGAGAGCGUGCCUUUUGUAGAAUGAACCGGCGAGUUACGUUAUGAUGCGAGGUUAAGCUGAAGAAGCGGAGCCGUAGCGAAAGCGAGUCUGAAUAGGGCGCUUUAGUAUCAUGAUGUAGACCCGAAACCUAGUGACCUAUCCAUGAGCAGGUUGAAGGUGCGGUAAAACGCACUGGAGGACCGAACCAGGACACGUUGAAAAGUGUUUGGAUGACUUGUGGAUAGCGGAGAAAUUCCAAACGAACUGGGAGAUAGCUGGUUCUCUCCGAAAUAGCUUUAGGGCUAGCGUCGCAAUUUAAGUGUAUUGGAGGUAGAGCACUGUUUGGAUGAGGGGCCCAUCUCGGGUUACCAAUUUCAGAUAAACUCCGAAUGCUAAUACACAUGUGCGGCAGUCAGACUGCGAGUGCUAAGAUCCGUAGUCGAAAGGGAAACAGCCCAGACCACCAGCUAAGGUCCCCAAAUAUAUGUUAAGUGGAAAAGGAUGUGGGGUUGCACAGACAACUAGGAUGUUAGCUCAGAAGCAGCUAUCAUUCAAAGAGUGCGUAAUAGCUCACUAGUCGAGUGACCCUGCGCCGAAAAUGUACCGGGGCUAAACAUAUUACCGAAGCUGUGGAUCAAUAAUAUAUUGAUGGUAGGAGAGCGUUGUAAUCAGCGAUGAAGGUAUACCGUGAGGGGUGCUGGAGCGAUUACAAGUGAGAAUGCCGGUAUGAGUAGCGCAAGAUAAGUGAGAAUCUUAUCCACCGUAAGACUAAGGUUUCCAGGGGAAGGCUCGUCCGCCCUGGGUUAGUCGGGACCUAAGGCGAGGCCGAAAGGCGUAGUCGAUGGCCAACAGGUUGAUAUUCCUGUACUAGUAUUGUUAGUGAUGGAGGGACGCAGUAGGCUAAAGGGAGCCAGUUAAUGGAUUCUGGUCUAAGCAGUGAGGUGUGGAAAGUGUCAAAUGCAUUUUCCUUUAACAUUGAGCUGUGAUGGGGAAGCGACAGCAGUUGCGAAGCCCUUGAUGUCACCCUGCCAAGAAAAUCUUCUAGCGUUUAAAGCAAUACUACCCGUACCGCAAACCGACACAGGUAGUCGAGGCGAGUAGCCUCAGGUGAUCGAGAGAACUCUCGUUAAGGAACUCGGCAAAAUGACCCCGUAACUUCGGGAGAAGGGGUGCUGUAGAAAUACAGCCGCAGUGAAAAGAUCCAAGCAACUGUUUAUCAAAAACACAGCUCUCUGCUAAACCGCAAGGUGAUGUAUAGGGGGUGACGCCUGCCCGGUGCUGGAAGGUUAAGAGGAGGGGUUAGCUUAGGCGAAGCUCUGAAUUGAAGCCCCAGUAAACGGCGGCCGUAACUAUAACGGUCCUAAGGUAGCGAAAUUCCUUGUCGGGUAAGUUCCGACCCGCACGAAAGGCGUAAUGAUUUGGAUACUGUCUCAACGAGAGACUCGGUGAAAUUUUAGUACCUGUGAAGAUGCAGGUUACCCGCGACAGGACGGAAAGACCCCAUGGAGCUUUACUGCAGAUUGAUAUUGAGUACCUGUGAAGCAUGUACAGGAUAGGUAGGAGACAAUGAAGUUGGGACGCUAGUUUCAAGUGAGUCGCUGUUGGGAUACUACCCUUGCUUCAUGGUUGCUCUAACCCGCACGCAUAAUCGGCGUGGGAGACAGUGUCUGUCGGGCAGUUUGACUGGGGCGGUCGCCUCCUAAAGAGUAACGGAGGCGCCCAAAGGUUCCCUCAACAUGGUUGGAAAUCAUGUGUAGAGUGUAAAGGUAUAAGGGAGCUUGACUGCGAGAGCUACAACUCGAGCAGGUAGGAAACUAGGGCUUAGUGAUCCGGUGGUACCGCAUGGAAGGGCCAUCGCUCAACGGAUAAAAGCUACCCUGGGGAUAACAGGCUUAUCUCCCCCAAGAGUUCACAUCGACGGGGAGGUUUGGCACCUCGAUGUCGGCUCGUCGCAUCCUGGGGCUGUAGUCGGUCCCAAGGGUUGGGCUGUUCGCCCAUUAAAGCGGCACGCGAGCUGGGUUCAGAACGUCGUGAGACAGUUCGGUCCCUAUCCGUCGCGGGCGUAGGAAAUUUGAGAGGAUCUGCCCUUAGUACGAGAGGACCGGGGUGGACUUACCGCUGGUGUACCAGUUGUUCCGCCAGGAGCACCGCUGGGUAGCUAUGUAGGGAAGGGAUAAGCGCUGAAAGCAUCUAAGUGCGAAGCCCACCUCAAGAUGAGAUUUCCCAUUCUUUAUGAAUUAAGAGCCCUGAGAGAAGAUCAGGUUGAUAGGCUGGAAGUGGAAGUUCUGUGAGGGAUGGAGCGGACCAGUACUAAUAGCUCGAGGACUUUACCAAAA